UGCAUGUUUCAUAUACAUAUUUAUAUAUAUUUCAUGUACAAAGUUACAUUCUGAACCCCAUGGAUUCAAUAAUAGAAAUAAAUACUGAAAUAACUACACUGCUAUAUGAGCUUUUCUGCUCACAGAAAAGAAGCCUCAAGUUUUAACAGACAGCAAGUUUAACGCUGUAGUAUCCAUCUCAGAUUACAGAGGCAAGUAAAAUUCAGCGUAAAGUGUCCAACAGACAAAACUUCCAAAAAUUACAGACCAUAAAAUGUUUUUAAAAUAUAUGCUUAAAAGAUUGAGAAAUGUGCAUCAACAAAAAUUAAUAAAGGAAACUUAAUCUUGUUAGAGGGCGGGAGAGACAUUAAGUGUAUAGAAAAAUGCUUUGAGGUGCAACAUAGGUUGUUACAAUAUGGCAUAACCCUGUUAGAAAAAAAAAAACCAACCCCACAUUUAAUUUCCCUAAAGAACUGUAUUUGAGUUUACCGUGUCUUGUUUUACAGAGCAGGGCCUUCACAAGACACUGCCUCAACAGGGCCACUUACAGGAGUGCUAAGUCAGGUUUAAUCCUUUGGUAACUUUUAUAAUACUCACAUGGAAAUAAAUAUUCAGUUACACAGCAUUUUAAAAGACACACGUUCUUUAGAACAGUUAGUAUAAUAAAACAGAUUUAACAUUUGUUUGUUACUAAGGCAGCCUAUGAUAAAGUGUCUACGCUCUGUCAGCUCUAUCUGAUCCAACGCAGGAAGACCUUUACAAGAAAUGGACAAUGCAGCAGCUUAUACAACGCGUUUCACCUUUACCAUGCAAACACCCUUACCCAGGCAAAAACAAUCAUUCUCCGAAAUAUUUGCAGGAGUCGGCCCACUGAGGUGACUGAAAUGGCACGGUGGACCAGAUACAUUUGGCAAAAGACCAGGUACACACUUGCCAGAUUGAACUGCUCUGUCUGAUAGCAGUAAAGCCGUUCCGAGAAAACAGCUCAUCACCAAUUACAAAUAAAAUGCUACACGAGAACCAAGGAACGGAAUUGUGCGCUUUGUUUUUCUGAGAACAUGAGAAUGUGACAAUCGACCAGUGAGUAAAAGCUUUGGAGACUGUGUUUUCCAAAGAGGAAACAAAAUUAUUACAGGAAAUGGCAGGAGAAGCAAUGAAACUGCGCCACUCACAGUGAAGAUUCUGCACAACAGUAAAAGUUCAGACAGCAUUUUGCUUAGACAUCCAAUUUCAUAAGUUAACUGAGAUGUGCUUCAGGUUCAGCAUACAUGUCUAUGUAAGUUUUAAAUAGGUCUAAGAGUGCUUAUUCAGUUUACUUUCUGUAUUUGUAUGAUUUUGAAAAGCUCCCAGACUUUAUACUUAAGCCAAAGUACUUGAAGAGUGACGUUAAAGAUGAAUUUGGAAAGCAAAUUAUGAACAACAUGCUCUCAUCACUUUUGGCAUUCUGAAGAGAAAAAUACUACCAAGAUAUUAGACAUCUUUAAUAAGGAUUUUUUACUACAUAGUUCAUGUCCUAAAUACAUAUUUACGAGAGAACAGCUGUGUACAAAAUAUGUUGCUUAAAAAGUAUUUAUACAUAUAAAUCUAACCAAUAGACCUGAAUGGAGUUUUUCUGGUUUAUCAGCUAUGAUAUGCAUUUGAAAAAGCUGCCUAAAUAUAUAUUUACACAAUAGACCUCAGCUAAAUGUGUUCAUUUAAAAAAAUUAAGAAAAUAUAUAAACACAUGUUUGCCUGAUAGACCAGAACUGCUCCUAUUGCAUAAAAAUGUUUAGGCAGUUUUAAAAAAGUGUUUCUAUAUUUACUCCUCUGAAACUGUUCAGUUCUCUCCCAUCAUCAAGUUACUCCAUUUCUCUGCUAAUCUGAACAGAACAGUCCCAGCCUUUUGGGGGGGGUAAAUGCCAGAUGUUUAUUAAAACCCCUCAAAACUUUUACUUUCCAGAGACUAAAUGAAAGCACAAAUCUGGGAUUAAAAACAUUCUGAAGUACAGAAAUCAUGAAGUGUUUAACUUAGGGCUGAUACUAAAUGUAGGAAAUUCAAUGUAAAAGGAAGACAGUCUUCAACUCACACUUAUGGUUCAAAAAAAUAGAUGGUGAGUAGACAGAAUGUCAGCCUAAUAUUAGAGUCUCCAGACUUCCAUCAAUUUACUCAAUCUUAGUGUUACCUGCUAACAUUGUUGCUUCAUUUUUUUUCUUUUUUUUAUUAACUGGGGUAUGCAACUACCAAAAAAAAAUAACAUUUUCUACCUAAUUUUCUGGCACUAAAGUUCCUUUACAAUCUCACUUGGGCAGAAUGCAUUUUUCCUGUACACCCUCAGUCUUUUCUCAUGCUCUAAUCGAGGUCUCUAACCUUCACACAUGUAGUGCCUCAUGAGUUUGACCAGCUAGGCAGAGAAGAUCAUUCUAGUGCUUAGGACAGAAGGAGUUAAGACAAGAAAAGAACAAAACAUAUCCCCUGAUCAAUAAUUUUACAAUUAUUUUCAAAUUUAAAUCAUCCUACGAAUACCCUUUGGAAACCAAGUAGUUCCAUGUCAGGGAAAUGGAAAAACACUAUGCUCAGAAAUUGCUCAUCGAGGGCAGCAGUUCUCAAACUUUAGAGGUUCAAUAGUGAAAACAUGUGAUUUUAUUUAAAUAUUGUCAUCUUAAUUCCUAUACAAUCUCUUCUUCCCCCCAGAAAUUCUGAUGGAUGUAACAAAUUCAACCGUAUACACUAUGUAAAAGCCAAGAUUUGCCAAGUUUGAAAACAAAAGCAGAAAUUUACAGUUCGUUUUAGCCCUCUCUGAGUAUCUGGAUGAGUCUUAAUAAUCCAUCUUAUAAUUUGUCCAUUUUCUUAAUACUCUGGGAAUAACUUUGCUGUUUUACUCAAUGCAUUAUACAGUGAAAUGAAGCUCAGUUGUAAUAAAGCUGAACUCAAGUGA
ensembl:lncRNA